rnacentral:rRNA from 1 species
UACAGAGGGUGCGAGCGUAAUCGGAAUUACUGGGCGUAAAGCGUGCGUAGACGGUUAUUUAAGUCGGGUGUGAAAGCCCCGGGCUCAACCUGGGAAUUGCAUUCGAGACUGAAUAGCUAGGGUACGGUAGAGGGAAGCGGAAUCCUGGUGUAGCGGUGAAAUGCGCAGAUAAUCAGGAAGAACACCAUGCGAAGGCAGCUCUCUGGGACGGUACUGAGCUGAGAGCGAAAGCGUGGG